CUACUACUCCCUCCGUACGAAAAUACUUGUCAUUGAAAUGGAUGUAUCUAGAUGUAUUUUAGUUCUAGACACAUCCAUUUUGAUGACAAGUAAUUCCAGACGAAGGGAGUAUUUU
rnacentral:pre_miRNA from 1 species